rnacentral:rRNA from 1 species
ACGAACGCUGGCGGCUGCUUAACACAUGCAAGUCGAACGGAGUGGCGAACGGGUGAGUAACGCGUGAGCAACCUGCCUAUGACAGUGGGAUAGCCUCGGGAAACCGGGAUUAAUACCGCAUAGUCAUAGAUGGGCUCGCGUCUGAUUAGCUAGUUGGUGAGAUAACAGCCCACCAAGGCGACGAUCAGGAGCCGGUCUGAGAGGCUGAACGGCCACAGUUGAACUGGGACACGGUCCAAACUCGUACGGGAGGCAGCAGUGGGGAAUAUAGCACAAUGGGGGAAACCCUGAUGCAUCGACGCCGCGGGAACGAAGAAGGUAUUCGUAUCGGAAAGUUCUGUCCUAUGUGAAGCAGUACCAUAGGAAUAAGGACCGGCUAAUUACGUGCCAGCAGCCGCGGUAAUUC